UACAAUAUAAAAUCAGGCCUCUCUGUUUCCAAAUUUUGUGUUCUUAAUACUUUUUUAAAAUUUGUUUUUAAACUCAUGAACCUCGAGAGAUGAAAUCUGCAUAGGUAAUCAUGAGCCAGGACAAGUGUCAUCAUGCCAUGACAAGGAGUUUAAAUGCUCUUCUCUGUGAAUAGGGGCGUAGUUAAAGUGUUUCUGAGGUGAAUAAGAGGGAUUUGGCAUGAUCUGGUUUGCAUUAAUGAAUUUCUCUGGGAUAAAGUAGGGGAAAAUGGAUUCUGUCAAAACUGGAGGCUAGUGAAGCAGCUAAGAGACUCCUGAAUACACAGGAAAAGUGUGAAGAGGGUAGGACUGGACAGAGGAAAAGCACAAGUGGUUUUGAGAGGAACGACAGAGGUGGAAUGGGGUGGAGUGCUGACGAGAACGUGGGGAUUAAAAUAAAAGAGUGAACUACAAAGAUGUGGCUGUUAUAAAUUAUUCAUGAAAAAGAUACUUGAAUUUACAAAUGUCCUGGAUCAGUAUAACUGAUAUCUUAUUAUAUUAACUGCUUUACCUAUAUUUGUAUAGUAAAAUUAGACAACUUUUAUUAACAAUAAAAAUUUAGCAUUUUAAUUUCUAUUUUU